CGCUCCUCGUCUCCAAAAAGCUCCGUCUCUCCACGAGCAUGUCCUCGCGCAGACAUGCAGCCGCGGUGCCAUGAAGCGGACCAAAAAGACGGCGACAGCACAGCACGCGCGCAGUGGCCAUGGCUAUUAACCAUGCGGCUGGAGCCAGAUAUGCCCAUUGCCUCCUUCUGUCAAAAAGAAGUCUCUUUGGUGCUACACUUAGUGCGCGCUCCCUGAAUAUGCCGGCGAAGCACAAGAAAGCCCAGCGGACUGCUUAAUGCUCUUUGUAAGUACAGUCACUCAGCAGGAUCAGUGUUUACUCAUGACACCCGGAUCAAGUCAAACCCUAUGAGAGAAACUUGUCUCUGAUUUGUAAAUAAAUCAUUAUAAAAAGGCA